CUACGGGAGGCUCCAGUGGGGAAUAUUGCACAAUGGGCGAAAGCCUGAUGCAGCAACGCCGCGUGGAGGAUGACACAUUUCGGUGCGUAAACUCCUUUUAUAUAAGAAGAUAAUGACGGUAUUAUAUGAAUAAGCACCGGCUAACUCCGUGCCAGCAGCCGCGGUAUACGGGGGGUGCAAGCGUUACUCGGAAUCACUGGGCGUAAAGAGCAUGUAGGCUGGAUGACAAGUUGGAAGUGAAAUCCUAUGGCUUAACCAUAGAACUGCUUCCAAAACUGUCUUCCUAGAGUAUGGGAGAGGUAGAUGGAAUUUCUGGUGUAGGGGUAAAAUCCGUAGAGAUCAGAAGGAAUACCGAUUGCGAAGGCGAUCUACCGGAACAUUACUGACGCUCAGAUGCGAAAGCGUGGGGAGCAAACAGGAUUAGAUACCCCCGUAGUC
rnacentral:rRNA from 1 species